rnacentral:rRNA from 1 species
CAGCCGCCGCGGUAACACGUAGGGGGCGAGCGUUGUCCGGAAUUACUGGGCGUAAAGGGCGCGUAGGCGGCGAUUUAAGUCUGAUGUGAAACCCCUGGGCUUAACCUAGGGCUUGCAUUAGAAACUGAAUGGCUUGAGGGCAGGAGAGGAAAGCGGAAUUCCCAGUGUAGCGGUGAAAUGCGUAGAUAUUGGGAGGAACACCAGUGGCGAAGGCGGCUUUCUGGACUGAACCUGACGCUGAGGCGCGAAAGCCAGGGUAGCGAACGGGAUUAGAUACCCCGGUAGUCCUGGCCGUAAACGAUGGAUACUAGGUGUGGGAGGUAUCGACCCCUUCCGUGCCGCAGCCAACGCACUAAGUAUCCCGCCUGGGGAGUACGGCCGCAAGGCUGAAACUCAAAGGAAUUGACGGGGGCCCGCACAAGCGGUGGAGCAUGUGGUUUAAUUCGAUGCAACGCGAAGAACCUUACCAGGUCUUGACAUCCCUCUGCCGGGUAUAGAGAUAUACCUUUCCUUCGGGACAGAGGAGACAGGUGGUGCAUGGCC